rnacentral:rRNA from 1 species
AUACGGAGGAUCCGAGCGUUAUCCGGAUUUAUUGGGUUUAAAGGGUGCGCAGGCGGCCAUUUAAGUCAGCGGUUAAAUCGUGGGGCUCAACCCCAUUCUGCCGUUGAUACUGGGUGGCUUGAUUGCGGUCGAGGUUGGCGGAAUUCGUUGUGUAGCGGUGAAAUGCAUAGAUAUGACGAAGAACACCGAUUGCGUAGGCAGCUGACCAGACCGCAAAUGACGCUCAUGCACGAAAGUGCGGGGAUCGAACAGGAUUAGAUACCCUGGUAGUCCGCACAGUAAACGAUGAAUACUUGUUUUCGGCGAUAUAAUGUCGGAGGCAAAGCGAAAGCGAUAAGUAUUCCACCUGGGGAGUACGCCGGCAACGGUGAGACUUAAAGGAAUUGACGGGG